CCCGAGAAGCCGGGACUACAAGCACCUGCCACCACACCCGGUCCAAUCAGCAUAAUGUCAUCAAUGCAAUGGAACGGACUGAUUUUCUGCAGAAAGGGAAAUCAAUCAAGGUCCCAGUGGACUAAAUGAUGAUAUAAGGCUGAAGAAUGGACGCAUCCUGUAAGUAGAACAGUAAAGGUGUAUUUCUGGUUUUUCCAACUGAAAGAAAACUGCUUCUAAUGAUCUUUACUAACAUAUAUAGCAAAACAAAAAAGUCAUUUUUUUUUCAGGUGAAUAGCUGUAUACCAAAUACCUGAGGAUGUGUUAAUUUGCCCAAGCGAUGAAACCACCUCUGGAACAGCAGCUAUAAUUAGAAUCACCACCUGAUUAAGUUGACAAUAAUCCACUGUCAUUCUCCAAGAUCCAUCUGUUUUGUGCACAGGCCAAAUAGAUGAAUUGAAUGUGGAUGUGGUGGGAAGUCACUAUGCUCACAUGUUUUACGUCCUCCGGGAUUGCAGCAUUACUUUUAGUUUACUAUUUUCCUAGGUAGAGGCAGUUAUAGUGGCUUCCAAUUAUUUUUCUUUCCAUAAUAUCCCUUAUUUCACAAGUCGGGAAACCAAUGUAGAGAUUUUGUCACAUUCUGAAUGUGUCUAUUCCAAUAAUGCUUCUGGAACUGGAGAAAUAAUCACAGGACUUGUUCAGGGACAUGCUGAACCCACUGAGACAAAUAUGAACUAAUGAUCAAUUAAUCACCAAACCUUCAUAAGCCUCUAUUAUGCCUCCACAGUGACAUUUUGGGUGACCAGAAAUUAGUGUCAUUUUAGUCAGUGUUCAGUAAUCUUCCAAAAGUCUAAUUAUUUCUAUUUUCCAAAGCAAAAGCACACUGGUAAAUAACUAGAUCUCUUUAGGAAAGACCAGAAGAAAGAUUAACAGUAUAAACACAUUUUUUUUGGCAGUGCAAUGGAGUUCUUCCUCAAAGGGACUUAGCCUCCCUUUCAUUUAAGGGGUUCUGGGGUGGUAAAUUGUCUCAGCCUGGAAAUUAAUUGAGGUGUUAUGUCUCUCUGUUUUGGUGAUUUGAAUUAGACUUCUGCUCACUAGACCUGGAACUUUUCCACCUAUACACAUCAUUCAUUAGACUGCCCAUCUAUUUCUUUUCUAGUGACAUCAUUAUCAACUAGCUAAUGCCGUAGGUCUUUGGGAGUUACAGUAUUCUGGUAACUGCUUUGACUCUGCAGUUUAUUGUGGUGACUAUCUGGUUUUUGAUGAUCCCUGUCAAAUAGCAGCAGUUUCCACUGUAAUAUCUGACUUGCAGAAAAGAGUAAAGAGAGAGCUCUCAAGGAUGCUAGGAUUCCCCCUAUAAAUUUAUUUCUCAUAAUUGUGGUAAAAGGUAUGUCUUCUGGACUCUCCAAUUGGAUGAGCAGUUCUUACAUGAUAAAUCUAUUCAAACAUUUCAACCUCCCUAAGACUUUAGAUGCCUUCCUCCAUAGUAUACCAAGGCAAUCCUGACAUUUCAACUUCAUUUAUUGUAGGCCACCUUCAGUUUCAUGUUUCAACCUAUGGACAAAACAAACUGUUAGAGCCCUUCCUAGACCACUGACCUUAGUGAGCCAUAGUAAUACAUCAGACUAAUCCAACUUUAUAUUCCUUCCACCAUAAUGCCACACUCUUAAGACCCAUUCCCACACCUAUUUCCCCAGAUUUAUGUGUGUAUAAAUUGGAAAAAUCAUUCUGUUCUUCUUGCAGGUCAUUCAUUGUACCUUACCGUUUGGGCUCUGCUGAGACUUAAGUCUAAUUGUAGGUCUAGAUGCAGAGAGGGGUGGGUGGAGAUAGGUCCUAAGAAGAAUCAGCAGUACCUUGCAAGGCAAUUAUAGAUUCUUCAGGAAGAACAGAUAACCUCCUUAGACAGGGGUGGAUGGCUGCUUCUCCCAGCAAGAAAACUGUCCAAAUUCAAGGGUUCAGUGUCCCCAGCUUCAUUGGGAUCUGUCAAUAUGCCCUCAUUCCAAUUUUCAGGAUCCCAUUCCUUCCCAAUCAUUUUAACAGAAAACACCUCGUGGGGUUGGAAAUUCAAUUUGUGUUGUAAUUAAGCCACUCACAGGGAGAUUCAGGUUUAAUUUUUAGAAAUCUCAGACCUGUAGGUAGAAAAGAUAACGGUGACUUUUAGGGCAUAAAAAACAGACUAUUACAUUAUUUAGGUGGAACUUGAGCUGGAAUUUGAAGUCCUGCACUUCUUUUAUUUCUGGAACAGUGAGGAGUAACUGACCAGCUCCACGAUACUCUUAGGUUUGAUAAAAAUAUUCUAAGGUAGCAAAUACAUGGUGACCCACAACUUCAACUUCUACAGGUAUUUGAUCACAAGUGUCCAAUGGUUAUAUUUUCCAUAUCUCUUUUGUCAUAUUAUACCAUGGAUUUCUAAUGCUCUAUCACCGGAAAUAGUCAUUAGUGCCUUUAAAUAUAAUCACAUGAGGCAACUAAAUUCUCAAACCCCAGAAACAAUUCAGAAAACUCAUCCAUAUGAUUAUGUUCCUUUAGAACAAUGUCAAGAAGCAACAUCUGUAUCCAUCAUCAUUUAUCCAGGGAAACAGACCAGUAGGAGAGAUAUUGUAAGAUUUUUUUUCAAGAAAUUGGUUUAUAUGAUUGUGGGGACUGAUAAGGCUAGUCUAAAAUCCAUACGGCAGGCUGGAACUCUUGGUUAUGGGCUGCAGAUUCUGGCCACAAGUUGAAUUUCUCCUGCCUCAGAGAAGCUUCAGCUUUGCUUUUAAGGCUUUCCAACUGGUGAAAUGAGGCUCUGCUAAAUUAUCUAGGAUAAUGUCUCUUAAAGUCAACUGAGUAUUGACUUUAUUUAACUCUAUAAAUUACCGUCACAGUAACACCUAAAUUAGUAUUUAUUGAAUAACUUGUGACUGUAACUUACCCAUGUCAACAAUAAGUCCAUCACAAUGUCACAUAAAAAACUCCUACUUUAUUAGAAAAUGGGAUAUAAGUGGCCCAUGAGUUUGCAGCUUCUCCUCUGUUAUAUAAAUUUUCCUUUUUUAGUACUUAAAAAAAUCCUCCAAAUCUCCAUAUAUCAGUGUGUUUAAUUUAAGAGACUGCAACAUGAUCAAGUUAAAUAUCAAUAGUAAAAUUACUAUACCAACAUUUCAAUGAUAACAGUUAGACAUGAAAUUGUUAAAUAUAAUUUGAAAGGAUUUUAUAUGUUAUUUGGCCAUUUAAAUUUAUUAUUAUAUUUUACAAAGUCAUUGAAAAAUAUUAUAAUUGAAUAUAAUGUGAAGUAAAGAAGGGUGCAAAAUAGAUAGAAUAUGCUCAUAUUUGUGUGUAAGAUAGAUGCCUGAAGAAGGAACAUUUAGGACAUUAUAUCAAUAUCUUCUGUGUGUGAAGAGAGAGUUGCAAAUCACCUUAGGACUAAAUUUUGAAAUUUUUAUUUAAUCACUUAAGUGAUUUUCUUUGUUCAAGCCACUAUGAAACUCAUUACUCCAGACCAGGUUGAAACAGCAGCUUCUGUGGCCUGAAAAGAUGGCAAUACCACUUGGUGUAAGGAGCCGUCCCUGUGCGAAGAAGUUAGCGAUUUACACAGGGACUAGGAUUUAUCUUGGGAGGAAAAGAACACCAAACUUGAUCUUUCCUCUUAUACAAAUAUUUCUGUUGAAUUGAAGUGGGCUGGAUCAGGUUCUUUGGUAAGAAAUGAUAUCAAUGACUCCAAAGAGGCACUCACCUUCAGAGAAGAGGUCACUGGUGCGGGUGACUGGAGCUGAACACAAGAACAGAAGUGACCCUGGCAGUGGCUGGUCCCGCAACAGCCUGUAACAGGGAACAUAAUCAACCACAAAUUUUGUGGGUAGUUUAGGUGUUGAAAAACAAUAGUGAUCAUUAAUAUUGUAUAUACAUUACCUUUUACUAGAUGUCCUACGUAGUUUACACACGAAAAAGAGGAACUAAAGGCUGUGAAAUUCCAACUCAGAAUAUAAAUCAAAAACGAGAAAGCCUUGGUGGUAACUUUGAACCAAUCCCUUAUCUCCUAAAGUGGCAGAGCAGAUAAACUGAGGACCAAUAUCAAGACUGGACUGUCAAAAUUGCAGUUGCAGUGCAAACGAGAUACUCAAUUCAGUUAUGUCUCAAAGUAAGAAGAAACCACUGCUGGGGAAAUAAUAUAAUCCCAAGAAAUAGGAUGUAAAUAUUGUGGCAAAUGCAACAAGGUUGAACACUUUGAAUCUCCACAUCUUUCUAAAUUUCCCUUGUCUUCCAUUUCACAACUCUACAUCCAUACUCAGCACAGGAAAAAUAUCUAAUCUGUUCUUGUCAAGUUGAAUUAUUGGUUAGGGAUUUCUGUGUUAAUCUCAGAUGGAAAAUGUUUAAUUACAAGGUCUUUCCUGUAUCUAAGAGUUAUUACAUGACAGAACAAGUGGACCAACCUCUCUACCUCCAACAGCCUCUUUAUCGCUGAGAUUUUCUGUGUGCCCAUGGCAAGCAGAAUUCCAAGACAAUCCUUGAGAUUUCUACCCCAUUGUGUAUAAUGCACUGCUUUUGAGUACGGGUGAAGCCUGUAAAUAUGAUGCAUUAUCAACCUCAUCAUUAUGUUCUAUUAUAUGCAAUAGAGACUUUAGCAGAUAUAAUUAAAGUUCCACAUUCAGUUAAGUUAAUCAGAUCGGAAAUUAUCUAAUCAGAGUCUGUCCUACUCAGGUGAGGUAUCAAAUGGGGGUCUAGAGUUUUAAAAUGCAAAGAAUCAGAGAGACAUUCUCCCUAUGGCCUCAAACAAGAAAGCAAAUAGCCAUAUUUUGAAUUUCCGUGAA
rnacentral:lncRNA from 1 species